GACAGAGGGUGCAAACGUUGCUCGGAAUCACUGGGCGUAAAGGGCGUGUAGGCGGGAAGGAUAGUCAGAUGUGAAAGCCCUGGGCUCAACCCAGGAACUGCAUUUGAAACUCCCUUUCUUGAGUGUCGGAGAGGAAAGCGGAAUUCCUGGUGUAGAGGUGAAAUUCGUAGAUAUCAGGAGGGACACCGGUGGCGAAGGCGGCUUUCUGGACGACAACUGACGCUGAGACGCGAAAGCGUGGGGAGCAAACAGG
rnacentral:rRNA from 1 species